rnacentral:rRNA from 1 species
UACGGGGGGGGCAAGCGUUGUUCGGAAUUACUGGGCGUAAAGGGCGCGUAGGCGGCCUGUUAAGUCGAACGUGAAAUCCCCGGGCUCAACCCGGGAACUGCGUCCGAUACUGGCAGGCUUGAAUCCGGGAGAGGGAUGCGGAAUUCCAGGUGUAGCGGUGAAAUGCGUAGAUAUCUGGAGGAAUACCGGUGGCGAAGGCGGCAUCCUGGACCGACAUUGACGCUGAGGAGCGAAAGCUAGGGGAGCAAACGGG